CCUGGUUUAUGUGGUACUGAGGAUGGAGCCCAGGGCUUCGUACCAAGUACUGUACCGACCAAGCCACGUCCCCAAGCCUGGUUUGGUAGACUGUUCUGCCCCAUGCCUGUGGGUGUGAAGUACCUGUCCCUGCUGGGCUGCAGCUGUUUCCCUGUGCUGAGGCCUUGCUCAGUCUGCUUAGAACUGUGAACUGGGAGCUUAGCAGUGUGGUAGGAGGCUGGAGAGACUGCUGAACGGUGGAGGGGAAGCCCGGGUUCUCACUUCCUGACUAUAGGAUGCUGAGUUCACACUCCUGGAUCCUUUUCGAGCUCUAUAAUGUAUUGCUGAUUUUUUUUUCCCCCUAAGAGAAGCUUCCAGUUCCCCCUGGACGAGCUGAAUUGUGUUAUCUUUACCCAUUCUUUGAGCCUGUUCCAUUUGUAGUGCUUAGUUCUUUACCUGUUUUUCUGCUUUUUUUCCUCUAUCUAGCCCUAAUUUUUACAUUUUCAGGUAAAAUGUUGGGACAUGGGCACCCUGGAAUGCUGCUGGACGUUGCCCUCCCUUGGAGGCUUUCCUUACAGCCUGGCCUUCUCCCCCGUGGACGCAGGCUGCCUGGCUAUAGGCAUAGGGAACGGCAUGAUCCAUCAAGAACAGCUACGAUGUGAGGCACUUGCGGCAGGGUGUUAAGUCCAAGGUUACAGUGACCUCCACAGAUUUCUAGCACGUAUCAUAAGAAGACUGUGUACACGUUGGCCUGGGGGUCCCCGGUGACUCCCAUGUCACUUGGAUCCCAUGGAGGCAGCAGGGCCGGGUGGUCACGGAGCAGCUGAAGGAAAGCUUGAGCUGCGCCCUCACUCUGCAGCGUAGCUCUUCUCUUUGAGCUGUGUUUUCCCUGUGCACAGUUAACCUGAGGCAGGUUCUGUGACUCCUAGGUCCCGAGGCUUUGCUCGCUGGCCACCCCCACCUCCUAUCCCAGCUGCUCUUGCCUUCUUUAAAGUGGGAGGCCUGUCUUGCCAUCCACGGCUGCCCUCCUGUGACCCGGUGCUUCGGAACUGAAGUUCAGAGCAGGGGUCCCCAGCUUUGCCUCUUCAGAGCUUUUAUUAGGAAGCUUAGAGUUUUCAGUUCACACAGAGUUUACAUAUUAUUCAUGUUCAAGCAGCACAAAACAAAGAAUUGUCUCACUGCUGUAGUAAGAAAACAGCACAGUGUGUCCAAGGCUGUGGCGACCAGCCUGGGAACAGACCUCCUUUGAUGCCUGCACAAACAGGGUGAGGGAGGUGGCGGCCUGUUGUUCCCAGCGGUCCAGAAGCCAGGUGCUUUAUCAGUCUUCCCAGCAUUCUGGGAGCAGACGCUCCCUCCCUCAAGCCUCUGCAUCAGCAGAGCUGGAAGAAGUCUGUUAACCCCUAGCGAGCCAAGCACUGUUGUCCUUAAGGGUCAGCUACAACUGUCUUAGAAUGAGUUUUCAACAAAAGUCUUUGCUUUCUACGGAACUGUAAGGAAGCAUCUGUAGAUUUCGGCAGCACUUGCCUUACACACACAGGACUGUGUUGGAAUGCUGUCUGUUUACUCAACAAGAGGCCGGAUGUGCCAUUGUCACUGCUCUGACAACCUCUCAGUGACAAGUCCUGAAAGUCCUGAGCUCUGUGUAUGCAAACGCGCCAGGAGUAGGGUGCUUGUUUCUGGAACAACAAAGGGAUUCUCCGAAGCUUUGGUUGGACCAUCUGUGGUUCCAUCUUUGGUGUCACCACUGUUCUGAAUGUCAGAAGUGUUUACAGUAAAUAAAUUGUCUCAGAAUACCACUGCCUCCUGCCUCAGAGGAAAGGAAACAGUUAAGCUUCUGUCUUCCACAGGAGCUGAAGGAGACAGGCCAUCCCUCACCUUGUACAGCUGUGGCGGGGAGGCCAUCGUCUUACAGCACAACCCCUGGAAGCUCAGUGGAGAGGCCUUCGACAUCAACAAGCUCAUCCGGGACUCCAAUUCAAUCAAGGUGAGCACCCUCUCAGCGCUUCUGCUUUUCCUGCCUCGCAUACACCAGGGCCAGCAUAGAGAUACCCAGCAUGCUUAGCAGCCGUCUCAGAUAGUAUGACUGUCAGUGAGUUUGUGUUGCCUUGUGUACCGUAUACCUUAGAACAUUGAGUAAAACAAAGAACCUAACAUGGGGGAAGACUGCUCGGUUGCAACUGGUUCCUAAUAAACUUGAAUGACAGUAGAGUCAAGCUUUCAACCAGAACGGCGCCCUGGUCACAUUGCGCACGUGUGGUCUCCAGGUGCACCUGCAAUGGAAGCAGUUAUCAUCGUGUCUUUUUUGAUACGGUAGCUCACUGUUAGCCCAGGCUGACCUCCAACUCCUAAUCUUCCUGCUUUAGCCUCCCAAGUGCUGGGAUUACACACAUGAACACACACACACACACACACACACACACACACACACACACGCACAACUGAAAAUUCUCUUGAGUCCUUUGCCUAGAAUCUCAAACAUAGUUGUAUGUGUUUUAUCUUUGUGCCAAUACAUUUG